CUUGUAAGUUGUCACUUUCUUCAAGCAAAACAACUGGCUCCAAUUUCAAGAUGAGGUUUUUGUUGUUGCUGUCGUCUGCCAUGCUGCGUUUGGUUUACUGGAGUUUCUCUCUGUUGCAUUUACUUGAUUCUUUAUCAGCUUGAUAAGAGCAGUGAACUUUCAGCCUGUCCCUUUUUGUACACUCAGACUACAGACAAACACUGAAGAUGUUAAACAGAAGGUGUUACCUAGAAUGCAGAGACCAUCUGUGCAGUUUUCGGAUUCCUGGCUUAUACCCUCACAGAAUUUGCCCCCGUUUCUUGGGGGAGGUGCAGUGCACUCUCGGAUCCUCAGAUGCUCACACUCCGGACUGCAGACUGACCAUCCACUCCACACUUCCCAGCUGCCAUCCACUUCGAAGAGAAACAACAGAAACCACCAUUAGGAUGAACCAGGCAGCUCUCAGUUCACUCACCCCAGGACUGCUGCUGUUCUUGGAGCUAGAUUUUAAAGAAAUCACCACCACAACAAAAACACAAUGAUAUGUCAAUUUAUCUUCUCUCCAUGGUUUCUUUCCUAAAGAGGUAUCCUAACAAAAACAUUGAUAUAAUUCCUUUGCUAUUUCAGGGUGAGGCCAAUUGCUGAAUUUACGCAAGUAACCAAUGCCCUUGGGUUGGUUAAUAAAGUCAUUGUCCAUUCUUCCCCAGUCUUUUGUGCACAACUGUAUCUUAGAUGGACAGAUACUACACACAGUAACCGCUGGUAAUC